rnacentral:rRNA from 1 species
GCCAGACUCCUACGGGAGGCAGCAGUGGGGAAUAUUGGGCAAUGGGCGCAAGCCUGACCCAGCAACGCCGCGUGAAGGAAGAAGGCCCUCGGGUUGUAAACUUCUUUUAUCAAGGACGAAACAAAUGACGGUACUUGAUGAAUAAGCCACGGCUAACUACGUGCCAGCAGCCGCGGUAAUACGUAGGUGGCAAGCGUUAUCCGGAUUUAUUGGGUGUAAAGGGCGUGUAGGCGGGAAAGCAAGUCAGAUGUGAAAACUCAGGGCUCAACCCUGAGCCUGCAUUUGAAACUGUUUUUCUUGAGUGCUGGAGAGGCAAUCGGAAUUCCGUGUGUAGCGGUGAAAUGCGUAGAUAUACGGAGGAACACCAGUGGCGAAGGCGGAUUGCUGGACAGUAACUGACGCUGAGGCGCGAAAGCGUGGGGAGCAAACAGGAUUAGGUACCCUCGUAU